rnacentral:rRNA from 1 species
AUUGAACGCUGGCGGCAGGCCUAACACAUGCAAGUCGAGCGACCGCCGGACGGGUGAGGAAUAGAUGGGGAUCUGCCCGUUAGAGUGGGAUACCAACCGGAAACGGUAGCUAAUACCGCAUACUAUCGCACGAAGGCCUAGUGGAGUAGCUAUUAGGUGAGGUAAUGGCUCACCUGGGCGACGAUCCCUAGCUGGUCUGAGAGGAUGAUCAGCCACACUGGGACUGAGACACGGCCCAGACGCCUACGGGAGGCAGCAGUGGGGAAUAUUGCACAAUUGGCGAAAGCCUGAUGCAGCCAUGCCGCGUGUAUGAAGAAGGCCCUAGGGUUGUAAAGCACUUUCAGUAGGGAGGCGUUACCGACAGAAGAAGCACCGGCUAACUCCGUGCCAGCAGCCGCGGUAAUGC